rnacentral:rRNA from 1 species
AUUGAACGCUGGCGGCAUACCUUACACAUGCAAGUCGAACGGUAACAGGUCUUCGGAUGCUGACGAGUGGCGAACGGGUGAGUAAUACAUCGGAACGUGCCUAGUAGUGGGGGAUAACUACUCGAAAGAGUGGCUAAUACCGCAUGAGAUCUACGGAUGAAAGCAGGGGAUCGCAAGACCUUGUGCUACUAGAGCGGCCGAUGGCAGAUUAGGUAGUUGGUGGGAUAAAAGCUUACCAAGCCGACGAUCUGUAGCUGGUCUGAGAGGACGAUCAGCCACACUGGGACUGAGACACGGCCCAGACUCCUACGGGAGGCAGCAGUGGGGAAUUUUGGACAAUGGGCGCAAGCCUGAUCCAGCAAUGCCGCGUGCAGGAUGAAGGCCUUCGGGUUGUAAACUGCUUUUGUACGGAACGAAAAGCCCCGGGUUAAUACCCUGGGGUCAUGACGGUACCGUAAGAAUAAGCACCGGCUAACUACGUGCCAGCCGCCGCGGUAC